CGGUAAUUCCAGCUCCAAUAGCGUAUAUUAAAGUUGUUGCAGUUAAAAAGCUCGUAGUUGAAUUUCGGGAUCAAUAUAUCGGUCGUGCCUUGGUACGUACUGGUAUCAUUGGUUUCUCCUUUCUGACGAACCAUGAUGUCAUUAAUUUGGUGUUAUGGGAAGUUAGGACUGUUACUUUGAAAAAAUUAGAGUGUUUAAAGCAGGCUUUAGCUUGAAUACAUUAGCAUGGAAUAAUGAAAUAGGACGUUCGAACCUAUUUUGUUGGUUUCUAGGAUCAACGUAAUGAUUAAUAGGGAUAGUUGGGGGCAUUAGUAUUCAAUUGUCAGAGGUGAAAUUCUUGGAUUUAUUGAAGACUAACUACUGCGAAAGCAUUUGCCAAGGAUGUUUUCAUUAAUCAAGAACGAAAGUUAGGGGAUCGAAGACGAUCAGAUACCGUCGUAGUCUUAACCAUAAACUAUGCCGACUAGGGAUCGGAUGAUGUUAAUUUUUUAA
rnacentral:rRNA from 1 species